GAUGAACGCUGGCGGCGUGCCUAAUACAUGCAAGUCGAGCGAACGGACGAGAAGCUUGCUUCUCUGAUGUUAGCGGCGGACGGGUGAGUAACACGUGGAUAACCUACCUAUAAGACUGGGAUAACUUCGGGAAACCGUAGCUAAUACCGGAUAAUAUUUUGAACCGCAUGGUUCAAAAGUGAAAGACGGUCUUGCUGUCACUUAUAGAUGGAUCCGCGCUGCAUUAGCUAGUUGGUAAGGUAACGGCUUACCAAGGCAACGAUGCAUAGCCGACCUGAGAGGGUGAUCGGCCACACUGAAACUGAGACACGGUCCAGACUCCUACGGGAGGCAGCAGUAGGGAAUCUUCCGCAAUGGGCGAAAGCCUGACGGAGCAACGCCGCGUGAGUGAUGAAGGUCUUCGGAUCGUAAAACUCUGUUAUUAGGGAAGAACAUAUGUGUAAGUAACUGUGCACAUCUUGACGGUACCUAAUCAGAAAGACACGGCUAACUACGUG
rnacentral:rRNA from 1 species